UAUCUAUUUGUCUCAAACCCUCCUGUCUUCUUUUUCUCUUCUUUAAUCAAAAAUCUCUUCUUUGAUAUGGAAGAUUCUGCAGAAAAAUUAGCAUAUGGCUUCUCUUCUUCAACAUCCCCCUCAAGUUGGAGGGGAGAGAUAAAACCCCCUAACUUGCUUAAGAUAGACCGGUGAGAAGCCCCAGAUAAAGGCUUGGUGAAUAAAUCGGCUAGUUGAUGAUGUGAUGGUACAAAAGAGAGACUAAUUAAGCUAGAAAGGAACUGUUGCCGCAAAAAAUGACAAUCUAACUCAACAUGUUUGGUUCGUUCGUGGAAGACGGGGUUAUGAGCAAUGUGUAUGGCGGUUUGACUGUCAGAGUGAAUCGGAACCAGAAGAGUGGUAAAGAUGAAAGAUCGUUAAGGAGACGAACUAGCCAUGUGAUUUCAGCUGUAACGCAUCGCGUCGAAUGGUACUCUGCCUCAGCAGAGAAAAGGGAAACAAAUACCUGCCUUUUAGACUUCCAGGAAAUUGGUGCUCCCCCAAGUGUGAUGAAGAAGCCACUGACAGACCGACGAGAUUCUUUGCAAGAUGCCCAAUCCGCGUCGCAGUAUGCUAGUAAAUAAAAAAAGGGUUCUGAGGAGAGAAGAAUCCCUGGCCUGGAUCUCGACUCAAAUAGCGUAGAACAUGCAUGGCAGCUAAGAAAUGAGAUGCGCAAGGGCGCUACAUGUAUUGGAUGAGAGAAAGAACAAUUAAGCACAAAUUCGGUCUUGUGUUGGUUAAAAAAUUGAGUUUGCCAACGAGAUGCCGAUAGACAGUACGGUCUGUUAAGAAAGGGCCAACAUCUGCCUACAAUUUGCAUGAUGGAUCAAGUGGAGAGGUGACAACUGCCCCAGAGUAAUCAAACUCUUGCAAGAGUUCCAAGGUUAUAUAGUUUGGCCGCAUGUGACUGGCCAAAUAUAUGCUCAAGGCUACCCCAUAGUUCCUUUGCACUCUUUGAGUAGAGGACACUGUCACCAAUAUCUUUUAGACAAUGAAUUCAGCAGCCAUGAAGUCACCAUGUCAUUGCACCUGCUCCAAAGUGGAUGGUCUUUGGAAGUUAGAUGUGGUACAUCACAACUCCCAUCUAUGAAGCCUAACUUGUUUUUGUCUAGGAGUGCUAUAAGCACUGACCUUCUCCAUCCGGAAAAGCCUCUUCCAUCAAAUGGUGAGUUUACAACUGUCAUACUAGGUGCAUCUGAAGAAUGUAGAAAAUAAGGAUGAUUUGUAUAAUGAUUUGGUCCAUUGUUAGAUCAACUAGAGGCAGUAACAGUAGGAGGAGUCUCUGUUCCAAUCAUGAUUCAAUGAUUGGAUUGAAGAACAAAAUUUGAGAGAGUAAUUGAAUGGAUCGAGCUAGAGCUCUGAAACCAUGAAAGAAAUGUAAAGUAGAUUUGUGAAAUUUUCUCUGAGUCUAUUUCAUCAUUCUGUAUCAACAUUUAUACAAGUAGCUAAUCUAACAAGAAAAAAAAAAAGAAUCUAAUUAUA